AAUGCCCUUGUUACCUUGCUCCAAUGUAAAGGCUUCAAGGAAGACCUUCGAGGUGCCAUAGCUGUAGCUCGAGUAAGUCCACGACCUUUUGGAGGUGGAGGUGCUGAAGCAGUAGGUCCUUUAGCACCUAAAGGUGGUGGCGGAGGUGGUGCACCACCCGGUGGUCUAGGUGGAGCACGAGCUCCUGGUGGUGGAGGCGGAGCUGGAGCUCCACGCAGUGGAGGAGGUGGGGGAGGUGGCCCCCCACCAGCAGGAGGAGGUGGAGGUGGUGGGGGAGGUGGGCCUCCACCAGCAGGAGGAGGUGGAGGUGGUGGGGCUCCACGCAUUGGAGGAGGUGGCGGUGGUGGUGCCCCACGCUCUGGAGGAGGUGGCGGAGGAGGGGCACCGUGUGUUGGUGGAGGUGGUGGUGGAGGCGGUAUUCCAUGAAUUAAGGGAGGCGGUGGAGUUGGAGCUCGUGUUGAUGCACCGGUAAAAGGCGGUGGUUGGGAAGGGGGCGAAGGAAUUGACAAUUUAGCUGGAGCAACCACAACAUUCCCAGAAUUCCAAGGGGGAGGCGGUGGCGGAGGUGGUAAAACAAUCCCACUAUUCUGUCGACUAGAUGAAGAGGGAAUUGGAGGGGGAGGAGGUGGGGGUGGUGGCGGUCCACGGUUCAAGACAGACUCAUUGUUCGACUCGCCAAAUGAGGUGAAAGGUGGAGCUGGAGAUGGAGAAGGAAGUGGUGUUGAUUUCAGUAGAGGGAGAGGAGGUGGUGGUGGCGGAGGAGUUCUAGGCGGUGUAUCUCCUUGUGAAAAUAAGGAAACUGAGGAAGAGGACUUGGGUGGAAAAGCAUAAAAUAAAGAAUUAUUAAAAUGAGGCGGGGGUGGAGGCGGGGGUGGGGGAGGAGGAGGUGCAGGAGAAGAGGGUUCUACUUGCUGUUGGACAAUAGAUGGUGAUAAAGGAGUUGGAGAGGAACCUGGAACCUGUGAAUGGUUUAUU
rnacentral:lncRNA from 1 species